rnacentral:rRNA from 1 species
GACACGGUCCAAACUCCUACGGGAGGCAGCAGUGAGGAAUAUUGGUCAAUGGGCGGAAGCCUGAACCAGCCAAGUCGCGUGAGGGAAUAAGGCCCUAAGGGUCGUAAACCUCUUUUGCCGGGGAGCAAUGGUUCGCUUGCGAGCGGACAGGGAGAGUACCCGGAGAAAAAGCAUCGGCUAACUCCGUGCCAGCAGCCGCGGUAAUACGGAGGAUGCGAGCGUUAUCCGGAUUUAUUGGGUUUAAAGGGUGCGUAGGUGGUGAUUUAAGUCAGCGGUGAAAGUUUGUGGCUCAACCAUAAAAUUGCCGUUGAAACUGGGUUACUUGAGUGUGUUUGAGGUAGGCGGAAUGCGUGGUGUAGCGGUGAAAUGCAUAGAUAUCACGCAGAACUCCGAUUGCGAAGGCAGCUUACUAAACCAUAACUGACACUGAAGCACGAAAGCGUGGGGAUCAAACAGGAUUAGAUACCCUGGUAGUCCACGCAGUAAACGAUGAUUACUAGGAGUUUGCGAUACAAUGUAAGCUCUACAGCGAAAGCGUUAAGUAAUCCACCUGGGGAGUACGCCGGCAACGGUGAAACUCAAAGGAAUUGACGGGGGCCCGCACAAGCGGAGGAACAUGUGGUUUAAUUCGAUGAUACGCGAGGAACCUUACCCGGGCUUAAAUUGCACUCGAAUGAUCCGGAAACGGUUCAGCUAGCAAUAGCGAGUGUGAAGGUGCUGCAUGGUUGUCGUCAGCUCGUGCCGUGAGGUGUCGGCUUAAGUGCCAUAACGAGCGCAACCCUUAUCACUAGUUACUAACAGGUGAAGCUGAGGACUCUGGUGAGACUGCCAGCGUAAGCUGUGAGGAAGGUGGGGAUGACGUCAAAUCAGCACGGCCCUUACAUCCGGGGCGACACACGUGUUACAAUGGCGUGGACAAAGGGAAGCCACCUGGCGACAGGGAGCGAAUCCCCAAACCACGUCUCAGUUCGGAUCGGAGUCUGCAACCCGACUCCGUGAAGCUGGAUUCGCUAGUAAUCGCGCAUCAGCCAUGGCGCGGUGAAUACGUUCCCGGGCCUUGUACACACCGCCCGUCAAGCCAUGGGAGCCGGGGGUACCUGAAGUGCGUAACCGCGAGGAUCGCCCUAGGGUAAAACUGGUGACUGGGGCUAAGUCGUAACAAGGUAGCCGUACCGGAAGGUGCGGCUG